rnacentral:rRNA from 1 species
AGGUUUAAGCACCUAUACGGCGAACUGCGAAUGGCUCAUUAAAUCAGUUAUCGUAUAUUUGAUAGUACCUACUACAUGGAUAACCGUGGUAAUUCUAGAGCUAAUACAUGCUUAAAAUCCCGACUUCGGAAGGGAUGUAUUUAUUAGAUUAAAAACCAAUGCCCUUCGGGGCUCACUGGUGAUUCAUAAUAACUUCUCGAAUCGCAUGGCCUUGCGCCGGCGAUGGUUCAUUCAAAUUUCUGCCCUAUCAACUUUCGACGGCUGGGUCUUGGCCAGCCGUGGUUACAACGGGUAACGGAGGGUUAGGGCUUGACCCCGGAGAAGGAGCCUGAAAAACGGCUACUACAUCCAAGGAAGGCAGCAGGCGCGCAAAUUACCCAAUCCCGACUCGGGGAGGUAGUGACAAUAAAUACUGAUACAGGGCUCUUUUGGGUCUUGUAAUUGGAAUGAGUACAAUUUAAAUCCCUUAACGAGGAACAAUUGGAGGGCAAGUCUGGUGCCAGCAGCCGCGGUAAUUCCAGCUCCAAUAGCGUAUAUUAAAGUUGUUGCAGUUAAAAAGCUCGUARUUGAACCUUGGGCCUGGCUGGCCGGUCUGCCUCACCGCAUGCACUGGUCCGGCCGGGCCUUUCCCUCUGGGGAGCCGCAUGCCCUUCACUGGGUGUGUCGGGGAACCAGGACUUUUACUGUGAAAAAAUUAGAGUGUUCAAAGCAGGCAUAUGCUCGAAUACAUUAGCAUGGAAUAAUAGAAUAGGACGUCGCGGUUCUAUUUUGUUGGUUUCUAGGACCGCCGUAAUGAUUAAUAGGGACAGUCGGGGGCAUCAGUAUUCAAUCGUCAGAGGUGAAAUUCUUGGAUCGAUUGAAGACUAACUACUGCGAAAGCAUUUGCCAAGGAUGUUUUCAUUAAUCAGGAACGAAAGUUAGGGGAUCGAAAACGAUCAGAUACCGUUGUAGUCUUAACCAUAAAYUAUGCCGAYUAGGGAUCGGGCGGUGUUAUUUCUUGACCCGCUCGGCACCUUACAAGAAAGUAAAGUUUUUGGGUUCUGGGGGGAGUAUGGUCGCAAGGCUGAAACUUAAAGAAAUUGACGGAAGGGCACCACAAGGGGUGGAGCCUGCGGCUUAAUUUGACUCAACACGGGGAAACUCACCAGGUCCAGACACAACUAGGAUUGACAGAUUGAGAGCUCUUUCUUGAUUUUGUAGGUGGUGGUGCAUGGCCGUUCUUAGUUGGUGGAGUGAUUUGUCUGCUUAAUUGCGAUAACGAACGAGACCUUAACCUGCUAAAUAGCCCGUGCCGCCUAGGCGGCACGCCGGCUCUUAGAGGACUAUCGCUCAGCCCG